UAGUUCGUUGCUCAGUCCAUGUUUGGAUCCGGAAUUCCAGACGAAGUGCUUGAGAAGACGUUCUUCCACACCAUUUCUCAGGUGAAAUAUGUUCGCUUGAAAAUCCGCAAGUCUCCGUGUAAAGUUUAAACUCGUUGUAUAAUGGUUGAGUGGCCAGAGUUCCUGCUCAGAUAUCCAAGUCAUCGUCGGGGUCUUCGUCGGAAUCUGGCAUUUCGUCAUCGGAAUCCCGCAGGUAGUGAAUGCUGCCGCUGGAAGAUUUUGUUUCGACUCCAGCUUCUGACUGGCGACCGUCAUAUAUUCGCACCUCCUGUCCGUCCCCUGAAACACAGAACGGACUAGGCUAAGCUCCUUGGAAGAGGCAUGAAGUCUCCUACCUUGGUGUUCGAAGGGAAGUCUCACUCUGGAUCUGUCUUCCACUUCCUUGUCUGACAGGUGCAGUCUAAACUGAACCUGAACAUGCCACACAACACCAUGUGCCUCGGAAAAAAAUGAGAGCUCUACU
rnacentral:lncRNA from 1 species